rnacentral:rRNA from 1 species
UACGAAGGGGGCUAGCGUUGUUCGGAAUUACUGGGCGUAAAGCGCGUGUAGGCGGUUGCCAUAGUCAGGUGUGAAAGCCUUGAGCUCAACUCAAGAAAUGCACUUGAUACUGGGCGACUAGAGGACCGGAGAGGAUAGUGGAAUUCCCAGUGUAGUGGUGAAAUACGUAGAGAUUGGGAAGAACACCAGUGGCGAAGGCGGCUAUCUGGACGGUUUCUGACGCUAAGACGCGAAAGCGUGGGGAGCAAACAGG